rnacentral:rRNA from 1 species
ACUCCUACGGGAGGCAGCAGUGGGGAAUAUUGGACAAUGGGCGCAAGCCUGAUCCAGCCAUGCCGCGUGAGUGAUGAAGGCCCUAGGGUUGUAAAGCUCUUUCACCGGAGAAGAUAAUGACGGUAUCCGGAGAAGAAGCCCCGGCUAACUUCGUGCCAGCAGCCGCGGUAAUACGAAGGGGGCUAGCGUUGUUCGGAAUUACUGGGCGUAAAGCGCACGUAGGCGGAUCGAUCAGUCAGGGGUGAAAUCCCAGGGCUCAACCCUGGAACUGCCUUUGAUACUGUCGAUCUGGAGUAUGGAAGAGGUGAGUGGAAUUCCGAGUGUAGAGGUGAAAUUCGUAGAUAUUCGGAGGAACACCAGUGGCGAAGGCGGCUCACUGGUCCAUUACUGACGCUGAGGUGCGAAAGCGUGGGGAGCAAACAGGAUUAGAUACCCUAGUAGUCCCAU